GCGUGAGUGAUGAAGGCCUUAGGGUUGUAAUGCUCUUUUAGCGGGGAAGAUAAUGACGGUACCCGCAGAAUAAGCCCCGGCUAACUUCGUGCCAGCAGCCGCGGUAAUACGAAGGGGGCUAGCGUUGUUCGGAAUUACUGGGCGUAAAGCGCACGUAGGCGGAUUGUCAAGUCAGAGGUGAAAUCCCGGGGCUCAACCUCGGAACUGCCUUUGAUACUGCCAAUCUAGAGUCCGGAAGAGGUGGGUGGAAUUCCUAGUGUAGAGGUGAAAUUCGC
rnacentral:rRNA from 1 species